GACGUAGGGCGCGAGCGUUGUCCGGAUUUAUUGGGCGUAAAGAGCUCGUAGGCGGUUUGUCACGUCUGCUGUGAAAUCCCGAGGCUCAACCUCGGGCCUGCAGUGGGUACGGGCAGACUGGAGUGCGGUAGGGGAGAAUGGAAUUCCUGGUGUAGCGGUGGAAUGCGCAGAUAUCAGGAGGAACACCGAUGGCGAAGGCAGUUCUCUGGGCCGAUUCUGACGCUGAGACGCGAAAGCGUGGGGAGCAAACAGG
rnacentral:rRNA from 1 species